CGGACGGGUGAGUAAUGCCUAAGAAUCUGCCUGGUAGUGGGGGAUAACGUCCGGAAACGGGCGCUAAUACCGCAUACGUCCUGAGGGAGAAAGUGGGGGAUCUUCGGACCUCACGCUAUCAGAUGAGCCUAGGUCGGAUUAGCUAGUUGGUGGGGUAAAGGCCUACCAAGGCGACGAUCCGUAACUGGUCUGAGAGGAUGAUCAGUCACACUGGAACUGAGACACGGUCCAGACUCCUACGGGAGGCAGCAGUGGGGAAUAUUGGACAAUGGGCGAAAGCCUGAUCCAGCCAUGCCGCGUGUGUGAAGAAGGUCUUCGGAUUGUAAAGCACUUUAAGUUGGGAGGAAGGGCAGUAAGUUAAUACCUUGCUGUUUUGACGUUACCAACAGAAUAAGCACCGGCUAACUUCGUGCCAGCAGCCGCGGUAAUACGAAGGGUGCAAGCGUUAAUCGGAAUUACUGGGCGUAAAGCGCGCGUAGGUGGUUCAGCAAGUUGGAUGUGAAAUCCCCGGGCUCAACCUGGGAACUGCAUCCAAAACUACUGAGCUAGAGUACGGUAGAGGGUGGUGGAAUUUCCUGUGUAGCGGUGAAAUGCGUAGAUAUAGGAAGGAACACCAGUGGCGAAGGCGACCACCUGGACUGAUACUGACACUGAGGUGCGAAAGCGUGGGGAGCAAACAGGAUUAGAUANCCUGGUAGUCCACGCCGUAAACGAUGUCGACUAGC
rnacentral:rRNA from 1 species